AGUCGGGUGGCGCAAUAGGCAGCGCGCAGGGCUCAUAACCCUGAAGUUGCAGGAUCGAAGCCUGCCUCGACUA